rnacentral:rRNA from 1 species
UACGUAGGGGGCAAGCGUUGUCCGGAUUUAUUGGGCGUAAAGAGCGUGUAGGCGUCCAGGUAGGUCCGCUGUGAAAACUCGAGGCUCAACCUCGAGAUGUCGGCGGAAACCAUCUGGCUAGAGUCCGGAAGAGGAGAGUGGAAUUCCUGGUGUAGCGGUGAAAUGCGCAGAUAUCAGGAAGAACACCCGUGGCUAAGGCGGCUCUCUAGUACGGUACUGACGCUGAGACGCGAAAGCGUGGGGAGCGAACAGG